rnacentral:misc_RNA from 1 species
CGACGGGCGAUAACGUCACCACGGCAGCUUUGUUGGUUGCAUUCGUUGGUGCGCCCGGACUUGCGCGCGUCGGGGAAGGAGGGACGACGGCGCAGACCAAAAACAAAACACCCAAUGCAAGCCGCAUAGGCUCCCUCCCCACUAACGCUUCGCUAGAGGAGGUGGUGGCUGAGGCGUCAACACGCCUUCUCGCAUCUCUCGGCGCUGACUUACUGGCGGCACAAGCACCAGCACACGCACAGAUCGCUACGCGAGCACGCACCGACUGCAGUCGCCUCUACCCUCCCUCGCUUUUAUCGUAGCCGACCGGCUUCUCUUUUGCCAACCUCUCUUGUUUUUUUUUUUGCUUUGGUCUUGAGAAGGCGCCGCAUCGCCGGAGCCGCUCUCGACUGCCCCACCGAAGGGCUGAGCUCGUGUCGUACGGCAGCUGCAGGGCAAAAGCUCCUAUGUCGUCUUCGACUUCUCGGUUGCCCUACUCUCACGCGCAUGCAGCGCACACCGACUCAACAGCGGAUGCACGUCGACGAAAAAGCGAUGCGGCUGAUAGGCCAUUGGUGGUGAGUGCUGGUAGCGCCAUGCGCCAGUCGAUGACGCCGUGUGCGCCGGCUGCGUCUCUGGCCUCCGCCUCGUCCGACCCAAAACCCUUUCUGCGGCAGCGCCGUCUGCCCUCCAUCCUACUUGACAGCUGGGAGUUCCGCAAGCUGGCCGCUGAGGGGUCAGUUCUCGCCAACGCCAUGGUCUCGUACGACGUCGACGGCGACGGGCUCGAGGAAGUGAUUGUGGGCACAACGGAGGGCCUGUUGUGCGUCGUAAAGCCUGACCACCGCGAACCGCUCUUCCUGCGAGUGCUCGCGGCGACCAUCUCCGUGGUGCUGUACACACCCAUUCAGAGCCGCCUCGUCCUCGUCACCCUUGAAGGGCAGUGCGAGGUCAUUGACCACUUCCUGAAGCCGACCCAGAAACAGCAGGCAGGCAGUGAGCCCGCCAACAUGAACGCGACCUCGCCCACGGAGGGUGGUGAUGGUGGCGCUGCAAGCGUGGGCGGGCCGCGGUAUCAGAGAACCGACAGCACCAGCUCACUGCCGCGCACUUCACCGCCUCUUAACGGCGGUGGUCGUACAGCUGGAGGUGCUCGCGCCGUCGGUGGGGGCGCCACCGCCUCUCCACACUCCGCAGGUAGGCCCUGGGGUGCUGAAAGUGCCAUGCCCACCCGCGUCUUUCACGUGCCGUCCAACUGCCUCUGCGCAGACCUCUCACCGGACAGAGACUCCGACCUUGUCUUCCUCGGCUCUUACGAUCGACGCUUCUACGUGUAUUCCAUCAUCAAUGGCUCGUGUCUGCUCUCCCUGUUCGUGCACGACCCCAUUACGUCAGUGAAGGCGUUCGCUAUUCCGACGUGCGCUGCAGACACGCACCCGGCCACCACCUUGUCGCCCAUCUCCGUCUGCGGCAAGCGAGUCUCUAAUCGGGGAAGCAGAUGCGGGAGUACUACGGGGUCGCAGAGAACACGCGCUAGCAGCAGCACCGGCACCGGUGCCUCGAUACUGGUCGACUCCCCGCGCGAAAUGGAAACGACGUCGGACAGGCCGGCAAAGGCCUCCGCGUUAUCCUAUAUUCCGCUCGUGUUUAUUUCUACCCCGACGCAUCUCAUCCUCCUUCCUGCCGGGCUGGGCGAUAUCCAGCAAUGGCGCAAGCUGCAGCCCAAGUCAGCGCACCUGCCCUUGACUGUGCAGCUCCGUAGCGACGAUCCACCACUAACGCCGCAUCCGCCACAGCAUUCGAAGCAGCAGCAAGCGCAGCGCAAACACACUGGCCGGCGUUCCUCGUUGAACGGCGGCGGCGGAGCAGCAAACAUGAGCGCAGCUUUGGCGACGUCGGCCACUGUGCAUCUUCGCAGUGACGACAGCCACCCACGCGAGGGUGAGAGUGCCGUCCCGCCCCAUAUGACGCGCGUGCCACCGGCUAGCUUGCCCAGUCUGCGCCAGCCUCUGUCAAUGUCGGCGGACGCCGGUUUGAGAGGCGUUCUGGCGGGUAGUGCCCCGGGAGGGAAGGCUUCCAGUCGCCCAGGGCGACUUGGUGGCGCCGCGACAGAGCGCCGGUGCGACAGCGUUGCUGUGAUGACGGGAGGAGCGCAUCACACCUCAGCUGUUUCAGUGCCAGCCGCGAUGACAGCAGCAGCAGUAGCAGCGGGUGCAUCCGCCGGUUUGCCACUCAGCAGCAGUCAGCUGCGCCGCCAGGCUCGCAGGCAUGCCAUCCAAGCAGCGGAGAUGGGCCGGCCAGUCCUCGUGAAGCCUCUGUGGGCGCUGCACAUUGGGCGUCAUGCACUCGAUGUGCCCCUGCUUCAGCCAAUGGUGAGCCCCGACGGCCACGUAGGCAGCCGCUUCGCAUCAGCUGCGGCCGCAGCAGGGUCACCGCAGCCUUCGUCGGUUACCGGCGCCAUCGAGCAGGAGGCCGCCCCAGGUACCGCUGCCGGCAACCCAUCCGCGCUUCAGCCUUACGGAGGUGGACGAUCCUCCAUCAUGUCCAUACAGGGCUCUGUGGGUGGUACGACAACGAGCCAGCGUGCCGCGAAUUCAUCGGUUUUCUACGUCAGCUUGCCGUCGUCCACAUCAGCGCUACAAGAAAGCACCGCUGCCAGCAGCAACACCUGCAACAGCGUUGUCCGGCGAAGAGGCACGGUGGCUGGGUCGGCUGACCUUUGGCAUCGCCGCGUCAAUGGCCACAGCUGUGAAGGUGGUGAAGACACAGAGGCCUCCAACGCAACCCCAACGCUGUCUUCGAUAGGUGUGGCGGCCGCACAGAACACUCGGCGAUCGAGUUUGCGCACCCCGGCACGUUCUCUUCCCCGACAGCUGCGGCAGUGUAGUGCAAACGACAGUAGUGAUGGCGACGGGCCGGCAGUGGGUGGCCGGCGCUGCAGCAGUGGCGACGAUGACGAAGACGCCGGGCUGCUGAGCGACGACGGAGCUCUCAGCUAUGUAGGAGGCGCCGCCCCGGUGAUGAGCGCGGGCGGCAUGGCGGACAGGGCACAUAAAGAAGACGACAAUAGCGACGGUGACUACGGCACGGCCACCGAUGAAGACUUCGGGCUCGACAGGUCAGGCGCUAGUACCACAAGAAGCUGCUGCAGCAGCAGUGGUGCUAGUGACCGCAGCUCCAGCAUCGAAGUUAAUGAGGGCAUCGAAAUUGGUGGGCGUCGCGCGCUGACUAGCAACUCGAUGCGUCACUCGCGACACCAUCACCACCACGGCACAGACACUGCCGAGCCGGCGUUGUUGGCGCGCAGUCUGUCCCACAGGCGAGCGGAGAGCGCGCCGACGAUACUGCUGCGCCGCACUAGGAUCGCGGACGGUGCCGACAACGAAAACAGCAACGCCGGCGCAGUGGGGCUGCUGGAAACCCCUACCCCAACGAAGGCAGCCGCGCAUGUGUCUCUGGUGGGCCUUGUAGAGCAGAAAAGCGAGCGUCGCGCGCGUCAACGCCAUCGAUGGGCAGCCUCGAGAGGACAAGGCGAGAGGGGAGGUCGUGGACCAUCGCGUGAACGUCACGCACAGGUGUCCGUUUCUCGGCAGCAGUACGCACAACAGCACACUUCGGCACACAGCGCGUCUCCUCCUCUAGCCGCUGUCGCAUCAGCCCCAGUCGGCGCGGGGGUGCGACUGCCCACCUCCGUUGAUGUGUCAGUGGGGGCGUCGCAAGUCGCAGUGGCUCUCAGCUGCGAGGAUGGCCUCGCGUUGGAGCUGCGCUUUUCGAUUGUGCGCCUUUCCUCCCUCUCAAGGUGCGAGCGGAGGCUGCCACGCGGGACAGUUCGGCUUUACGACAUGCAAAAUCCGCGGGGCCGGCACGCCACGGCCGGCGCGGCCCGCAGAAAGGGCGGCGGUGCCACCAAAGGUUCCAGGCCGAGGGGUGAAGUUCCCGGUCGCGACGAUGGCGGCGGCUCCAGCAUGCGACCCGCCUCACCUUCGACAUCGCCGGAGGAUGCGCGCUUGCGUCAGCCGCACCGCAGCCGCGGCUCACAGCGGCAGCAGCCGCAACGAAAGGGUGCAUCGCCGGUGACGUACAACAUAUACUUGCCAGCACCAGCCGCGGGGCAGGUGGGGACAGCAGCGGCGCUGUCGUCACUGUCUCAUAUCUCCGGCUUAUCUUUCACAUCUUCGCAUCAACGGCAGUGCAGUCGGAGCGGUCGCCGUGGAUGCGGCGACGCAGGCGGUGCUCUGGCAACGACUACAGUAAUAAGCACCCCUGCGGUCACCAAUGUCGCUGGUGCUGCAGGAGUGUCGUUGGCGCAAGACGACACAGCGUGCCCUGCGUCAGCGACAGCGAACCAUCCUCUAGGGGUGUCGGCUGGCGAUGCAUCCAUGCUUGACGCAGACGGCGGAGCCGGCAGAAACAGCCGUGACGCGUAUGUCCAGCACUACCGGGAGGAUGCCCUUGUGUUGCAAGCUCAGUGUCUCUGGGCGGCGCGCCUCAGCGAUAGCCCUCUCGUGCAACGUUCUCGCGUGUUCAGCGUUCGUGAUCACCACCUCGAUAACGCGUUUUGCACGGUGUUCGUCGCCGCCAACGGCACCUGUUUUGCUGUUGACGGCGACACCUUGUCCGUCGUGGAGUGCUGCAUCAAGGAGGACUGCAGCUCCUUCACGCUGAUGGUUGGGCCGCUAUCCACGACGCCAAUGCUGCCGGCGAGGGCGAGUGCGACGACGCUGCAGGAGGCAACCGCGGACGCGUCCGCUUGGGUCAAAGAUGGGGUGGCGAACGGCGUGUCCGCGGCCACGAUGAGCUUCAAUGUUCUCCGCGGCGCAGUGGGGCGCACGAUAUCCUGUGUUUGCGUCGGCCUUGAUGAGUUGUGCGUGUACUCGGUCGGGGAGGCGAAUCAGCUGUGGGGGCGCCGUGACUGCUCCACCGGUGAGUCUGUUACCUCUGGCGCCAACGAGCAGAUCUCGCUUCUCUCGCGGUGCUUGCCGGACAAGAGCUGCGCGUCUGUGGCGGAGGCUGCCGGCGCGCUUACUGGUGAAGCGGGCCAGGGAAUGGAUGCCCCUGCGGGAUGCUCUCUAGCUUCCAUGGACUCGGGAGAGCAAGCGCUGCUGCGUCAACUCGCCGUGAGACUCCGUCAGCACGAGCAGUACGCCAGCCCCCCCUCCCACCAUGACAGAGGUACGGGUGCUGGCGCUGCCUCCGGAGGCGAGCAUGCGAUCGAGACCGAUGAAGAGGCUCUCAUGCGCGUGAAGAAACUGCUGCUCUACGACUACUCGGAGCAAGAGUGGGAGAGGCUGCAGUGGCUUGAUCAUGCCCUGACGUAAGUCUCUCCGUGCUUGUAGGUCUUCGAAGGUGUGUGCUUGUGUGUGUGUGUGUGUACUGCGAGUCGUUUUUUGUUGUUGCCUGCGCGGCAAACCCCAUGUGUGCGCGUGUGGUUCAACCCACCGCGUGCGCGAAGAUAAGCAGCAUGACCGGGAGACAAGAGAAAAAUGAGACAGCCACGACGCGUGAAUACCGUUAUGGUUGUGCUAGUAGCAGCGCCCCCUCCCCUCCUCCUCCCCUCCCCCUCUGCAGAAGGUGGCCAUUG